rnacentral:misc_RNA from 1 species
UUGAAACAUUGUAAAGGGGAGUUGAGCUGGUCCUUCACGGACAAGUGCUCGCUUUUCUUUCAAUCUUCAUCCACCUGUGCACUUUUUGUAGAGAGACUGAGAAAAGGACUUAGGUCCUGAGUAUCGGGCUUUCUAUGUCUUUAUAAACUCUUAACGUAUGUCGUUGAAUGUCUUUUACAAGGUACUUAACUGGACCUUUAAAAACUAUA